AAUCAACGCUGGCGGCGUGCCUAACACAUGCAAGUCGAACGCGAAAGUCCCGCAAGGGGCAAGUAGAGUGGCAAACGGGUGAGUAACACGUGGGUGACCUGCCUUCGAGUGGGGGAGUAACGUCCCGAAACGGGACGGCUAAUACCGCAUGACAUCCUGCUUUUGGUAAAAGACGGAGAUCAAAGACCGGGGACCGGCAAGACCUGGCGCUCGAAGAGGGGCCCGGCCGCCUGAUUAGCUAGUUGGGAGGUAACGGCUCACCAAGGCUACGAUCAGUAUCCGGCCUGA
rnacentral:rRNA from 1 species